UGAUUUGUUUCUCUACCAUAUUUUCUGC
rnacentral:sRNA from 1 species